rnacentral:misc_RNA from 1 species
AGAGAGGUGCGUGGUGUGCGCGUGUGCGUGCCCCUCUUGUCGCUCUCCGCACCCCCCCCCUCUCCUGUGCGAGUGUGUGCUGGUGGAGGCGGCUGACUGAGGCGACGGCGCAGGCAAGGGCAGCAGCCAAGCAUACACGGAAACACACCUAUACACUUACUCACAUAUACCCCUAUCCACGCUGGCAGGGCGCUGCAGCCGAAGGAGGACAGCAGAAUAUGCGUUGGAGCGGAGCAGAGGCGGGGCUGCUUUCCUGCUCGCUCCUCUGGCGUCUGGCUCGAGUCCGUCUGCGUGUGCGCCCCCUGUGUCGCUGUGUCUCCUCGCCUCUCUCCUGCGCGAUUUGUGUCGAUGGCUUCGUUGCUGACGCACCCCACCGAGUCCUCCGGGCUCCGCCGUGGGAAGUCACCACGCCGCAUGUUAAGGCACACAGGGCCCUGACCUGGGGCUGUGCAACGUUCUCCCUGGGCUCGUGCGGCACGUAGAGCCACCACUCCCCACGAACGCCCUGCUACCCUUUGUUACCCCCUCCCCACCGACAGACGCCACCGCCUCCGCCGUGGAGAGCGGGACCGUGAGGCCGGCAGCGCUCGCAUGACGGCGUGCGGCGCCGCUGAGGCAUGCGCGUAGGGGAACGGGGAGGGACGGGGCAGGACAGGCCGAGCCCGUUAGGCGCAUGACCCGGUGCAGUGGCAGGACGGCUCGUCCUCGACGACGCGGAUGUGGCUGCCGUCCCACAGGGCGUAGGGGUGCACGGUGGCUGUACGCGCGCAUCUGCCGGCUUGUGCGUGGUGGCGUGGAGGCGGUAAAAAGCGGGUGCAUGUCUCCCGUAUUCAGACGGCAGGUACAUGGAUGCGACUGAACGACGAGUGCAUAUGUAUUUCCAUCUAUAUCUGUGUGUGUGCGCACCAAGACCACCGCCUAACGCCUCACAUGACGUUGUCCUCGCCUGACAGGGCGGAGGGCGUUUGCUUCUCCCUUCUCUCUUGCUUGUGCUUUGUUUUUGUGCUUCGUGACGCGCCUUCCUGCGCGCGUGCCUCAUCGCUCUCAUGCUUGCCUCCCUUUUCCGACUCCCUCACCCCGAC